rnacentral:rRNA from 1 species
AUAGAGACUCAGAGCUGCAUAUCAAUAAGCGGAGGAAAAGAAACUAACAAGGAUUCCCCUUAGUAACGGCGAGUGAAGCGGGAAGAGCUCAAAUUUGAAAUCUUAAAGGGUUUCCCUUUACGAAUUGUAGUUUAAAGAAGUGUUUUCUGUUGAGGUUUUGGUAAAAGUUCUUUGGAAAAAGACAUCAAAGAGGGUGAGAAUCCCGUAUUUGACCAUUAUUUCCAGCUUUGUGAUACACUUUCAAAGAGUCGGAUUGUUUGGGAAUGCAGUCCAAAAUGGGUGGUAAAUUUCAUCUAAAGCUAAAUAUUGGCGAGAGACCGAUAGCGAACAAGUACCGUGAGGGAAAGAUGAAAAGAACUUUGAAAAGAGAGUUAAACAGUACGUGAAAUUGUCAAAAGGGAAGCGUUUGACACCAGUGUUGUUUUUCUGAAAAUCAAUUAAAGAACUGUUUAUGCUAAGUUGUUUAGACUUUAUCAGCUAACUGUUUAGUUUUGAGCUCUUUCUUUAAUGCACUUCUCAGUUAACAAGUCAACAUCAAUUUCUUUUGCUGUAAAAAAGCUUGAGGAAGGUGGCUUGAGAUUCGUCUUAAGUGUUUAUAGCCUCCUUGCCUAUGCAGUCGGAGAGAUUGAGGUCUGCAGCGUAGAUCCUUCGGGGCUAAAUGCAUUUGUGCUAAGUUAUAGCAUUUUAUAGACAACUUGUUGACUAUGAUUUGUCUUGUAGCUUACUCGCUUAUGUUAUUUUACCUACGCUUAGGAUGUUGAGUAGCGACAUACGCAC